UACGUAGGGUGCAAGCGUUGUCCGGAAUUAUUGGGCGUAAAGAGCGUGUAGGCGGCCUUACAGGUCAGCUGUGAAAACUCGAGGCUCAACCUCGAGACGUCGGUUGAAACCGUAAGGCUAGAGUCCGGAAGAGGAGAGUGGAAUUCCCGGUGUAGCGGUGAAAUGCGCAGAUAUCGGGAAGAACACCCGUGGCGAAGGCGGCUCUCUGGGACGGUACUGACGCUGAGGAGCGAAAGCGUGGGGAGCGAACAGG
rnacentral:rRNA from 1 species